GGAGCUGAUGAAUGCAUGGAAUCUAUGCCCCAAGCCAGGACUGGAGAUAGAUUUGAGAAUAUGCAUGUGCGAGAGAUUGUCAAAGGCUUUCUCCAGGUCAAGGCCCAGGAUUGCCCUGACAUCUCUCGUCUGCACGUCGAUAAUCUGAUGUUUGAUCAACAUCAUGGUGUCCUGGGUCGAGAGUGCCAGCCGGAAGCCAAUCAUGUUGUACGGAAAGAGACCAUGCUCUUCAAUGUGUUUAGAAAUGCGCUUGUUAAUGACGUGUUCGGCCACCUUGCCUAUACAGGAUGUAAGCGAUAUGGGCCUGAGAUUAGGGAGACUAAGGGGGCGUCCCGGUUUCGGGAUAAGAAUGACUGACACCAGUUUCCACGAUUCUGGGACGGCUCCCUGUUCCCACACCCUGUUAAUCUCGUCCAUGAGCGUUUGUAUGGAAGCAUCGUCCAGAUUACGAAAGAGCCUAUUAGAGAUCCCACCUGGGAACAGG
rnacentral:lncRNA from 1 species